rnacentral:rRNA from 1 species
ACGAACGCUGGCGGCAUGCCUAACCCAUGCCAGUCGAACGCGACCUUCGGGUCUAGUGGCGCACGGGUGCGUAACGCGUGGGAAUCUACCCUCAGGUUCGGAAUAACUCAGAGAAAUUUGAGCUAAUACCGGAUGAUGACGUAAGUCCAAAGAUUUAUCGCCUGAGGAUGAGCCCGCGUAGGAUUAGGUAGUUGGUGAGGUAAAGGCUCACCAAGCCGACGAUCCUUAGCUGGUCUGAGAGGAUGAUCAGCCACACUGGGACUGAGACACGGCCCAGACUCCUACGGGAGGCAGCAGUGGGGAAUAUUGGACAAUGGGCGAAAGCCUGAUCCAGCAAUGCCGCGUGAGUGAUGAAGGCCUUAGGGUUGUAAAGCUCUUUUACCCGGGAUGAUAAUGACAGUACCGGGAGAAUAAGCUCCGGCUAACUCCGUG